rnacentral:rRNA from 1 species
AGGGUUUGAUCAUGGCUCAGAUUGAACGCUGGCGGCAUGCCUUACACAUGCAAGUCGAACGGCAGCACGGGAGCUUGCUCCUGGUGGCGAGUGGCGAACGGGUGAGUAAUAUAUCGGAACGUACCCUAGAGUGGGGGAUAACGCAGCGAAAGUUGCGCUAAUACCGCAUACGAUCUACGGAUGAAAGUGGGGGAUCGCAAGACCUCAUGCUCAUGGAGCGGCCGAUAUCUGAUUAGCUAGUUGGUAGGGUAAAAGCCUACCAAGGCUUCGAUCAGUAGCUGGUCUGAGAGGACGACCAGCCACACUGGAACUGAGACACGGUCCAGACUCCUACGGGAGGCAGCAGUGGGGAAUUUUGGACAAUGGGCGCAAGCCUGAUCCAGCAAUGCCGCGUGAGUGAAGAAGGCCUUCGGGUUGUAAAGCUCUUUUGUCAGGGAAGAAACGGUGGACUCUAAUACAGAUCACUAAUGA